UGUAGUUAAGACAUUUAGUUGCUUUGUGCAUAAAUUUUAGAAAUCUUCCGUAGACUUAAAUGUUACUUUCUUGUUUGCUUAAGAGAGGAUCAAGCAUUCUUUUAAGUUUAGAGAUCCUGUUGUACACGACGGGCUGUGUUUCAUCAAAAGAAGCUACUUUAACAUAGCUUCUUUCGCACCCUUUUUUUUUUUCAUUGGUUUUAUUUUCAUAAUCGCAAACAUCAGAUGUCUUUUUGAACAAUUAUUAUUAUUAAAGAGUACAAGCUUUUUAGAAAAA
rnacentral:misc_RNA from 1 species